rnacentral:sRNA from 1 species
UAAUACUCCUCUUUCAAGACAUUCUUGCGUUCAAUAGCUGUUUUAAUGUUGAUAUUUUUAAUAAUUGUUGAUAUUUUAAUGAUUAAAAUAUCAACAUUAAAACAGCUAUUGAACGUGAGAAUGUCUUGAAAGAAGAGUUAUU